CAUCGGCCGAGGGCCGCUUUUCUCCAUCGCCCGAGGCCUCAAAACCAUCGGCCGAGGGCCGCUCUUCUCCCUCGGUUGAGCUCCAACAGCCAGCGCCCGAAUGCCGCUCUGCAAGCCACUCGACCGAGCUCUCCAUUUCAGCGGUCGAGGCACCUCUUAAUCCCAUCUCUCGAGUUCAAAGCCAGCGGCCGAGGACCACCUUUUUCCACUCUCGGCCGAGCUCCUAAAAGCCACUCGCCCAAGGCCCCUAUUUUCCUCCGCGGUCGAGCUGAGGGCCCAGCGCCCGCUGGGCCUUUUUUUGUUCAAGAGUGGCACUUAAGUUAAAAGAAGAAGAAACGUGUUUUAUGGGGAAGACUAUUUAAAGAGGCUGACUGCUCUUUUUGACCUAUCACUUCCGCCCACAUACUGACACCAAGAACACUUUUUAGGUUUUAUUUUCUUUGAAGUUUUUGAAGUAUUCUGUUCUGGCUAGAAUUUAUUUUUAGAAUUGAAUUUCAAUUUCCUUUUGAAGUUGUAAGCAGUGGUGGAUAUUAUUCUCUCAACAUUUAUUGGUAUUUCAUCCUUCCCU
rnacentral:lncRNA from 1 species